rnacentral:misc_RNA from 1 species
GAUUUUGGUGUUUGAGAGACUUCAUCCAUGGCGGAUUUCUCUUUUCUUUCCGACAGCGACAAUGAAAAAGCGGUAGAAGAGCUUCUAUCACAAGCAAUGGAUCAAUCUGUCCUUGAACAAGUUGCUGCCAUUAAUUGCUCUGGUUUUACUGACUCUGUACUCCCCACUCAGCUCGAAACUCGUUUUCGAAAACUCAAAUCCCUUCCUGCUGCUCCGGCAACUUCCAAACCCUCCGCUGUCGCAAGAAAUUCCAGGAGUUUCGGUUCCUCGGAGUUCCCUAAAACGAAGAAGAUUGAUGAUGAAAAUGAGAAAAUUGGAGGAAGUCCAGUUGAGGAGGUGAAUUUGGAAGAUGAGUUUGUUGAAAAACAGAGGAAAUCAACGUCGAUUGAAAAUGAUGUUUUCUCAAAAAUCACAAAUGGGAAAAGAUCUUCACCUGGGCCAAUAUCGGAUUGUUCGUCUCCACCAGCGAAAACUGGGUGUUUUUGGUGUUCACCUAAGAAGGGGUUUAGUAAAAAGGGGAAAGAGAAUAAGGGUGUGAGUAUGGAGCUGAAAUGGGGGAAG